rnacentral:lncRNA from 1 species
CUCCUCUUGAUUUCCCUUUUAAUACUAAUUAUGAGCCAGAUUGUUCACUGAUCGUUUGAGCCAGUCCCCUCUUCAGGCACAGUAACAGCUCAGAUGCGACCAAGGUUCCUGCUGCUCUAAUUUGCAGCUUCAUUUCACCUGGGACAGUGCCUAGAUCAACCCGAGUCUGGCUCCCAGAGCCCUGGAGACUUACAGAUGAGGCAUCAACAUUAAAGCUCGAAUUCACCUACAUGGGUUGUGAAGGCUUCCAUGAAAUGUGUGCAGAGUGAUCUGGAAAGAUAAUUGCUCACUUGGUUAAUGCUUGUGCUGCAGGACCAUGCUCCAGGUUGGCACUCUUGUCCCUCUUGUCUGCGUGGAUGCUGGAGCAGCAUUCAGACACCUUCCAACAGCAUCGUUAAGCUCCUGGAUAAGUCAGAGCUUGUUUCAAAGCUGGGAGCGCAAUGAAUAAAUAUUUUAGAAAUCUGAACAUG